rnacentral:lncRNA from 1 species
UCUUUAGAAAAACUAUGAAUCAGUUCACCAUCUUGUUGAUUAAAAACAAUAUAUUUAUUUCAUGGUUUUGCCAUUUUAUAAAGUAUCUUUCAAAUCCAAAAGUUAGCAAGCAGACUCUUACUUGGACAGGCUAGCGGCUAGCCAGAGGGAAACAGGGCAACAAACAUAAUAAGAGUAUAACCUGGGCUACAAGUGGAGUUGCAGGCCCAUAAGCAGCAGACAGAAAGGUCUCGACGAGCCAGAUCAUGGGGCGAUCCGCCAUAGCCGAAUUCCAUAAAUUAGGUCUCCAAAGAAAAUACGUAAAUCACCGAUUACUUCAAUUUACACGUUUAUUUAUGUCUUAAUUCAUACUUCCCUAUAAAAGAUUUCAUCAUUUGGUAAAAUAUCAUUUUUCUUAAGAAUUAAUUCUCUCUUUGUGCUUCCUCAAUCUCUACAUCUAACAAAUUGAAGCUAAACCUAAAAGCACACAUAAGCAACUAUUUCUGACCUUCUUAUACAUACAAGAAGUCCUAAAAGUCCAAUCCUCUGAUUAAGACCAAUAAUUUCAAUUUCCAACAGAACCCACAAGUAAAAUCUUGAUAACAUUACAAUCAAACCAAGUUAACAAGAACAAACAAAUGGGUUACACAAUUAAAAGAAAAAAAAAGCAUACUC